ACAGACAAGGAGGACUACCUAGACUAGAGUUCCUGCAGCAGACCAAUUCUUAUUCCUUCUUUUGCUCUUCAGAUCCAAGUUUCCUUUUACCUUGUGCAAUCCAAUUGUCACCACUAUUCCAGUCCAAAAUGUUGUCUAAAAUGUUCCAAAAUGCUCCAGUUAGCUAACUGCUGGAACAAAUGCAUUUAAUCAUUGUUCUAAAAUCAAACUGUUCCCAGUUGUAGGUGAUGUCACUUUAAUUCUUUAGUCCAUUUUCAUCAUAUGUUACUGUAAAAUGGUUGUUGCUACCCUUGGAUAUUGAGCUAGUAUCCGAAGUAUUUGUUCUGUACUCUGUGUCUCUGUUUGCAUUCUUUUGAGGGCCACUGCAUAUAACACCUAUCCAGCAAAAUGGGCAAUGCUCGGUUUUGUUCAAUUGGCCUCCUAUGAAGCCAUGGGAUAUUGUUAGGUCAAAAACAAAUAUCAAUAAGUUCAAGGAUUAAUUGUGGGCUGCAACUCAACAUAAAAAUAAACGGCGAACUGAUCGACUUAGUAAUUAAUUGUGGGCUGCAACUCAGCAUCAAAAUAAAUGACGAACUGAUGGACUUAGUAAUUAAAUGUGUCACUGCAUUUAGACAGUGGUUACGUCUAUGUUUUUAUGUUCAGAUUUCAUCUGUACUUAUAUGAGAAAAGGGGAAACCCCUAUAGGUGAAAAUAGGUGUAAGAUUUAAUGUAAAUCAGAUACAUUGUUAAUAUAUAUGGAUUGGUUAACAUUUAGUUCAUGCAUAUUUAGACUUUUCCCAACAAAUAUUUGUCUCCCAUGUAAUGUUAACAAAAUUAUAUAAGGUUUAUGACAUUACACAAGAGCAAUAUAAUAUCCAUAAGAAUAUCUAUAUCCUCAAAUUUCAUCAUGUUGCAUUAACCCGUGCGCUGAAGCUGAUAUAACUGAGUACUUGAUACAUCAGGUCAAUUUUUGUAUUAAGUUAUCUACAGGUUAAUUUUUUGUUAUUGUUAGCUAAGGAUCUGUUCGGUUUUUGGAUGAAUUGGAAUGGAAUGGAACCAUUCCAUUCCACUUCAUUCCAUUCCACUUCAUCUCUGCGUUCGGUUUGAUCUAGAAAAAAUGGAAUGGAACCACACUAAAAUUUGAUUAAUUAGAGCCUAUCUAAUCUAAAUAUGGAAUGGAAAGGAGGGAGCAAGGAGCGAGAGAGGCUCGGGCCAUCGCGCCGCCGCGCAUCGGGCCCCCACGCCGCCGCGCCUCCGUGCCUGGGACCGCCACGCCUCCGUGCCCAGGGCCGCCGCUAGCCCCCGCCGGCGUUGGAUCCCACCUGGAUGCCUCGCAUGGCCGCCGGCGCCGUGCCCGUGCCUAGCAGAGGUCGCGGUGGAGCUACGCCAGUGGCCGCGCGUGCCUGGCCGAGGUCGCGGCGGAGCUGCUCCGGCUGCCGCGCGUGCCUGGCAGAGGUCGCCUUGUGCGAGCAGGGAGCACGAGGGAGAGAGGUUACGGGAGGUGGGAGAAGGAUUAGCGCGUGGGACAGAGGCCGUUCCACCUCGUCCGGCCGAAUCGGCCGGACGGGUGCGUUCCGGAUCUCAGCGGAAUAUUCGCUUUCGUGGAACGAGUUGGUUCCAUUCCAUCCCAAAAACGAACGCAAGAAUCAGCUGUAGGUGCGGAAUGGUUCCGUUCCAUUCCAGUUGAUUCCAGAACCGAACAGAUCCUAAGUGUUCUUAUUUGAUAGGUUCAGAAACUAAGGGAAACAUGGUGAUUUUUUUCAAAGUAGACGGCCUAUCCAUGUUACAAAUUCAAUGUUCAUCACAUAAUUUAAACCUCUGUAAUCACCAUUGAUUUAAUCAUACUAGAAGGAUUAAACGCUGCAGGUUUUCAUCUACUGCAUCAAUAGUGCCGUGGCAUUUUCUUAUAUGGUCUCAUUAGAAAUCUGAUAAGAAAAUUAUGCCUCCACAGGUCUGAUUGAGUCUCCACAUACGUAUUGAAUUAGGUCUGAAGUUGCGUUUUGACGUCUCCUACGCCGCAGUGGUUUUGUACCCCACGUGCGGCACGUCUGCAGCCUCCUCUUUCUGCCCUACAACAACCGUCUACUUUCUGUCUUUCUAAGCCACGGUUACUUUUUUCAGUCACAGUAAGAAUUUUGGAGACGGAAAGGAUUAGAAUUUGUGUGGUUAUUUAGGGAACCCACCGUUUUUAAAGUUGUGCACACAAUCACGUAAAACCACAGAGCCAUUUGGCAUUCGGAGAACUGAAUAAAAUUUCAUUUUUAGUUUCUGCUGCAUAAGGUUGUUGGACAGAUAUAGAUCUACAUGUGUAUGGCCAAUAUUUCGUUAAUAAGCAUAUAUUUGACAAAACUUAGCGUAUAUGGGCAUCAAAGCCAUACACAACAAAUCUCUAAAUAUUGUUUGCCUAUGUGUCCAUGAAUUACUGUAUGUAUACUUGCAUUAUUGGAAUCGAAGUGUGUUUGCAUUAAAGUGGACUACUUGCUUUACUCUAUUUUUUUGUCAGGAUAAAUUACUGGAACUGCUGGGAUUUGGAGUAGAUCUGCAUCUUCUUGUAGAGGAUCAUUGUCUUUUCCGGGUGCUGUACAAUUUAGGCAAACAAUAUUCCUCCUGGGCAUUGGGCUGCGAGUAGGCUGUGAAGCCACAAGCAAAUGGAAGCCAGUAUGAUGUGUGAUUGUGUUUCAGAUCUGCUUGAUGAACCCUGUUGGUUAGACAAGUAAGAUGGAAGCCAAUUAGAUGAACCAUGUUAGAUGAACCUUGUUGUGUAUUUUAUCUAAUGGUUUCAAACCAUGCUGUUCAUGAUGUGGAGAUGAACACUGUUGGUCAUGGAAGUUAAUUAGAUGCCUGGAUUGUGAAUCCUUGAAUGUUCAAAAUGUUGGUUUCAAACAUUGCUUGA